GACGAACGCUGGCGGCGUGCUUAACACAUGCAAGUCGAACGGAAAGGCCCUGCUUUUGUGGGGUGCUCGAGUGGCGAACGGGUGAGUAACACGUGAGUAACCUGCCCUUGACUUUGGGAUAACUUCAGGAAACUGGGGCUAAUACCGGAUAGGAGCUCCUGCUGCAUGGUGGGGGUUGGAAAGUUUCGGCGGUUGGGGAUGGACUCGCGGCUUAUCAGCUUGUUGGUGGGGUAGUGGCUUACCAAGGCUUUGACGGGUAGCCGGCCUGAGAGGGUGACCGGGCACAGGGGGACUAAGAUACGGCCCGGACGGCAGCGGGAGGCAGCAGGGGGGAAGGUGGCAAAAUGGGCGGAGGCCUGAGGCAGCAUGGCCGCGUGCGGGAUGACGGCGUUCGGGUGGUAAACCAAUUUCGCCUGUGACGAGGCGUGAGUGACGGUAAUGGGUAAGGAAGGACCGGCUAACUACGUG
rnacentral:rRNA from 1 species